UUAAGUUAAUAAGGGCGCACGGUGGAUGCCUUGGCACUAGAAGCCGAUGAAGGACGUGACUAACGACGAAAUGCUUUGGGGAGCUGUAAGUGAGCAAUGAUCCAGAGAUGUCCGAAUGGGGGAACCCGGCAGGUAAUGCCUGUCACUCAUUACUGUUAAGGUAAUGUAGAGGAAGACGCAGUGAACUGAAACAUCUAAGUAGCUGUAGGAAGAGAAAGCAAAAGCGAUUGCCUUAGUAGCGGCGAGCGAAACGGCAAGAGGGCAAACCGAAGAGUUUACUCUUCGGGGUUGUAGGACUGCAACGUGGACUUAAAGAUUAUAGAAGAACUACCUGGGAAGGUAGGCCAAAGAGAGUAAUAGCCUCGUAUUCGAAAUAGUCUUUAUACCUAGCAGUAUCCUGAGUACGGCGAGACACGAGAAAUCUCGUCGGAAUCUGGGAGGACCAUCUCCCAACCCUAAAUACUCUCUAGUGACCGAUAGUGAACCAGUACCGUGAGGGAAAGGUGAAAAGCACCCCGGGAGGGGAGUGAAAUAGAACCUGAAACCGUGUGCCUACAACAAGUUCGAGCCCGUUAAUGGGUGAGAGCGUGCCUUUUGUAGAAUGAACCGGCGAGUUACGAUAUGAUGCGAGGUUAAGUUGAAGAGACGGAGCCGUAGGGAAACCGAGUCUUAAUAGGGCGCAUUAGUAUCAUGUCGUAGACCCGAAACCAUGUGACCUACCCAUGAGCAGGUUGAAGGUGAGGUAAAACUCACUGGAGGACCGAACCAGGGCACGUUGAAAAGUGCUUGGAUGACUUGUGGGUAGCGGAGAAAUUCCAAACGAACUUGGAGAUAGCUGGUUCUCUCCGAAAUAGCUUUAGGGCUAGCGUCGAUGUUAAGUCUCUUGGAGGUAGAGCACUGUUUGGGUGAGGGGUCCAUCCCGGAUUACCAAUCUCAGAUAAACUCCGAAUGCCAAUGAGAUAUAAUCGGCAGUCAGACUGCGAGUGCUAAGAUCCGUAGUCGAAAGGGAAACAGCCCAGACCACCAGCUAAGGUCCCAAAAUAUAUGUUAAGUGGAAAAGGAUGUGGGGUUGCACAGACAACUAGGAUGUUAGCUUAGAAGCAGCUAUUCAUUCAAAGAGUGCGUAAUAGCUCACUAGUCGAGUGACCCUGCGCCGAAAAUGUACCGGGGCUAAAACAUAUUACCGAAGCUGUGGAUACCUUUAUAGGUAUGGUAGGAGAGCGUUCUAUGUGCGAAGAAGGUGUACCGUGAGGAGUGCUGGAGCGCAUAGAAGUGAGAAUGCCGGUAUGAGUAGCGAAAGACAGGUGAGAAUCCUGUCCACCGUAAGACUAAGGUUUCCAGGGGAAGGCUCGUCCGCCCUGGGUUAGUCGGGACCUAAGGAGAGACCGAAAGGUGUAUCCGAUGGACAACAGGUUGAUAUUCCUGUACUAGAGUAUAUAGUGAUGGAGGGACGCAGUAGGCUAACUAAACCAGACGAUUGGAAGUGUCUGGCCAAGCAGUGAGGUGUGAUAUGAGUCAAAUGCUUAUAUCUUUAACAUUGAGCUGUGAUGGGGAGCGAAGUUUAGUAGCGAAGUUAGUGAUGUCACACUGCCGAGAAAAGCUUCUAGCGUUAAUUAUACUCUACCCGUACCGCAAACCGACACAGGUAGUCGAGGCGAGUAGCCUCAGGUGAGCGAGAGAACUCUCGUUAAGGAACUCGGCAAAAUGGCCCCGUAACUUCGGGAGAAGGGGCGCUGACUGAUGGUCAGCCGCAGUGAAUAGGCCCAAGCAACUGUUUAUCAAAAACACAGCUCUCUGCUAAAUCGUAAGAUGAUGUAUAGGGGGUGACGCCUGCCCGGUGCUGGAAGGUUAAGAGGAGUGCUUAGCGUAAGCGAAGGCAUGAAUUGAAGCCCCAGUAAACGGCGGCCGUAACUAUAACGGUCCUAAGGUAGCGAAAUUCCUUGUCGGGUAAGUUCCGACCCGCACGAAAGGCGUAAUGAUUUGGGCACUGUCUCAACGAGAGACUCGGUGAAAUUUUAGUACCUGUGAAGAUGCAGGUUACCCGCGACAGGACGGAAAGACCCCAUGGAGCUUUACUGCAGUUUGAUAUUGAGUAUCUGUACCACAUGUACAGGAUAGGUAGGAGCCUAUGACCUCGGGACGCCAGUUUCGAGUGAGGCGUUGUUGGGAUACUACCCUUGUGUUAUGGCUACUCUAACCCAGAUAGGUUAUCCCUAUCGGAGACAGUGUCUGACGGGCAGUUUGACUGGGGCGGUCGCCUCCUAAAAGGUAACGGAGGCGCCCAAAGGUUCCCUCAGAAUGGUUGGAAAUCAUUCGCAGAGUGUAAAGGUAUAAGGGAGCUUGACUGCGAGAGUUACAACUCGAGCAGGGACGAAAGUCGGGCUUAGUGAUCCGGUGGUUCCGUAUGGAAGGGCCAUCGCUCAACGGAUAAAAGCUACCCUGGGGA
rnacentral:rRNA from 1 species